AAAGUACUCCCUCCGUCCCAAAAUUAUUGUCUUAGAUUUGUCUAGAUACAUAUGUAUCAAGUCACAUUUUAGUAUUAGAUACAUCCGUAUCUAGACAAAUCUAAGACAAGAAAUUUGGGACAGAGGGAGUAGUUG
rnacentral:pre_miRNA from 1 species